GAUGAAGAACGCAGCGAAAUGCGAUAAGUAAUGUGAAUUGCAGAAUUCCGUGAAUCAUCGAAUCUUUGAACGCACAUUGCGCCCCCUGGUAUUCCGGGGGGCAUGCCUGUCCGAGCGUCAUUGCAACCCUCAAGCGCGGCUUGUGUGUUGGGCUUCGUCCCCCCGUGGACGUGCCCGAAAGGCAGUGGCGGCGUCCCGAAUGGUGCCCGAGCGUAUGGGAACUCUCUUCCGCUCGAACCGGCCCAUUCGGCGCUGGUCGAACCCCAAUUUUUUUUUACCGGUUGACCUCGGAUCAGGUAGGGAUACCCGCUGAACUUAAGCAUAUCAAUAAGCGGAGA
rnacentral:misc_RNA from 1 species